rnacentral:SRP_RNA from 1 species
GCCGGGCGCGGUGGCUCACACCUGUAAUCCCAGCACUUGGGAGGCUGAGGCAGGUGGGUCACCUGAGGUCAGGAGUUCGAGACCAGCCUGGCCAACAUGGUGAAACCCUGUCUCUA